GGAGGGGCUCCGGCCGGCGGGUGUUGCUUUCUCCGCGCACCGGCGAACCGAAACUGGAGCGUUCACCUCCCAGGUAAAAGUCAACCAGCGGAACUGGACAAACAGCCUCAAGUGCGCCUGCGUGCAAACAGCGCAACAAACUUCUGUUCCUCCCGACUGGACGACCCGUCAGCGCCGGGGAAACAGCGCCACCUGUCUGCAGCGGAACUCGCGGCUGUGGACUAAUACAGAUCAGGAGUGGGUCCCAAGCUGUGGUCCGCGGGUUGACCAGUGGUCGUUAAAAGGUUUCCAGGAGGUCUCAGUAUAAUGAUGUCUUUAUUUACGUGGGUUUUGCCCAGAACCAGAAAAAGAUAAUCACGUUAAACUUUGACUUAAAAUUCAACUGAAAAUCUAACUUAUUUUGUACAGCACAUCUUAUAAUGUGAUUCCAAGAGCGUCAACCAGCCUGUUUGAUUGCUUACGAGACGGAAAAACUAUUUAAUACUAAUUAACAUGAGAUUAAAAACAAUAAAUGAAAUGAAAAAUACAAAAUAGUUAAAAUAUUAUGACACAUUUAAAGAUAAGAGGCUUUAAAAUCUAUUUUUAAACACAGUAUACACUAAACAGUUUAAAAGAUAAGAAGUCAAACACACAAACCCAAUAGAUAAUUUAUUCUUCUGUUGGAUAAAUGGGGUCAAAAUGAGAUACUUGAAUCAGUGGUAAAUUAUCAACAAUGUGUAUUUUUAUAACAACAGUACUGAUUGUUCUGGGGGAAAAAGGCAGAUUUCUAAACAUUAAACUCCCCCAGUUUCCCAUUUCUACCCACCUACACAGAAACAGGGAUUAGCCCAAAAGCAUUGAUUUUCAUAUUGAGGAAGAGGAAAUAAGAAUUUAAGACAAAGUGCCAAAGCUAAACUCCCACACAGAACGUGUGUCAUCAUUGUAAUUGAGAGAUAAAUAUAAACCCUCUCCAGGUGUCUCCCAGCCCCUUAUACGCAUAUUCCCUAAACUUAGGUGAACCUGCCCCAAAAAAGAAAAACCGACUCUUUUUCCAUUGCCUGUUGACGAGUUUGCCUUUCUGUUUUUCCCCCUACUAUCAUGUUCAACACGACAAAAACACCAAAAGCUGAGUGCAGUCACCCGGGUGUCAUGUUUCCAUCAGAGCGGAAGACGAUAAAAACCGGUGUAUCCAGCACAGUCAUCUGACCUGAGAACGAAUGCUGAUUGUAUCAAUUCCAUUUGCAGACAAAAACCAGAUAUGUCCAUAAGAUUGUGUGGAGGGCUUGGGAGCAACCCAGAGAAGAACUCAAAAAAAUUUGUGGCAGAUCUGGAUCGGGGGACACAUAUUUUCGCUUUCUUUUACAUGAGACAUUUUUUUUUUUUACGUUUUCAUUGAUUUCACAGGAAAUAAUUCAAUAAAGUGUUGAUUGAAAUAAAAUCUGGCAUAUUUAGCAAA